UGGGGAAUUUUGGACAAUGGGGGCAACCCUGAUCCAGCCAUGCCGCGUGAGUGAAGAAGGCCUUCGGGUUGUAAAGCUCUUUCGGCCGGGAAAAAAUCGGGCAGGCUAAUAUCCUGUCUGGAUGAUGGUACCGGAAUAAGAAGCACCGGCUAACUACGUGCCAGCAGCCGCGGUAAUACGUAGGGUGCGAGCGUUAAUCGGAAUUACUGGGCGUAAAGCGUGCGCAGGCGGUUUGGUAAGACAGGCGUGAAAUCCCCGGGCUCAACCUGGGAAUGGCGCUUGUGACUGCCAGACUAGAGUACGGCAGAGGGGGGUGGAAUUCCACGUGUAGCAGUGAAAUGCGUAGAGAUGUGGAGGAACACCAAUGGCGAAGGCAGCCCCCUGGGUCGAUACUGACGCUCAUGCACGAAAGCGUGGGGAGCAAACAGG
rnacentral:rRNA from 1 species